rnacentral:rRNA from 1 species
AGUGAACGCUGGCGGUAGGCCUAACACAUGCAAGUCGAACGGCAGCACAGUAAGAGCUUGCUCUUACGGGUGGCGAGUGGCGGACGGGUGAGGAAUACAUCGGAAUCUACUUUUUCGUGGGGGAUAACGUAGGGAAACUUACGCUAAUACCGCAUACGACCUACGGGUGAAGGCAGGGGAUCUUCGGACCUUGCGCGAUUGAAUGAGCCGAUGUCGGAUUAGCUAGUUGGCGGGGUAAAGGCCCACCAAGGCGACGAUCCGUAGCUGGUCUGAGAGGAUGAUCAGCCACACUGGAACUGAGACACGGUCCAGACUCCUACGGGAGGCAGCAGUGGGGAAUAUUGGACAAUGGGCGCAAGCCUGAUCCAGCCAUACCGCGUGGGUGAAGAAGACCUUCGGGUUGUAAAGCCCUUUUGUUGGGAAAGAAAAGCAGCAGGUUAAUACCCCGCUGUUCUGACGGUACCCAAAGAAUAAGCACCGGCUAACUUCGUG